UACAAAACCACAAGCUAUCUAACUACAUUUGAUGGAGAUACUGUACUUGAAAGGCUGAAUUUUGGGUUCCUGUACAUAGGGAUUGAGAAUUCUCUACCACAGCUUUGUUAUAAGAAAUUGACACAAGGCCAGGCGUGGCUGCUCACGCCUCUAAUCCCAGCACGUAGGGAGGCCUAGGCAGGAGGAUCACUUGAGUGCAGGAGUUUGAGACCAGCCUGGGCAAUCUAGUGAGACCUCCUCUCUGAAAAAGUUGACACAUGAUGUGAAUUGGGUAUCACAGAAGAUGUUUUUAACAGGACCAAAUAAGAUAUUUCUCUUACCCUUUUAGGACUGAGGUUUUGCCAAUACAUUAGGCAAGGACUGGCUAACACUUGAUAUCAUAAUACUAUAGGUACAACAGAAUCUUUCUUUUUUGUUGAUGCAUUUAUAAUAUAAUAUUGAGUGGGAGUUUUCCCAUUGCCCCGUAAUUAUGAUUAUGCCCCAAAACUGAGAAUAAAAUUAUUAAAUACUUCACAUUCUAAGUUAAAAUAACUGAAUAAUCCCAUAGUAUUAGCCAAGUAGUGUCACAAGCAUACCUAUCACCACCACCACUACCUCACCACCACCACUCCUACUCACCCUUCAUUAAAAAAAUGGUAGGCCUGAGAGAAAAUAAGGAGGCCUUUUGGAGAAUCAGUUUGUGGACAGGACUGUUCCCAAUAUAUAAUUGGAGUCGGGGUUGCAUGAAGAGAAUUAUAUCCAAAGAUUGGGAUUACCAAAAUAAGAGGCAUAUUUCUUUUCUCUGUUGGGUGUUUGCUGGGACAGAGGACUUGCUGAGCUCCUGGAGCUAUAUGAGUAGAGGAAAGAGAAUUUGCAAGAGAUGAUAGACUAACAGAGGCCAGGACAGCAAGAAAGUGGUCUUCAUGCCCAUCAUUUAGUGUGUCAAGAAUAACGGAGAUUCCCAUGGAUGGUAUGAACACCAGGGAAAGUAGGUGAGCUUCAGCCAUUUUGUCAGUAUGCGCGCUGACCUCAGCAAGAGGGAAUCUCUGCAGCAAGAGAAAUUAAAGUGGUUCAGUAAACUGGAUCCAGAUGACCAACAUCAGGAAACUACAUAAUGGGAAGCCCCUGCAGGCUCCCUCAAAGAAGCCUCAUUAUAGAUCUAGCUUUUGGAUACUGUCACACAGAGGUUAUCAAAAUCCAGUUAAUGAGGACUGCAUCCUUACCCAGUCAAGUAAGAAAAUAAUCGCCCUUUUCUCUGUACUUGGGGUCGGGGGAGAGUAGAGGGGAAUAGUGUAAAGAGCUUUGAAUUGAGCUGGAGAUUGAAGCUUUAAAGUUAACAACAUGAUUCUUUAAUAUAUUGUGAUUGUUCUAAUAACUUUAAAUAACUGAAAAAUCAGAGAAUCUAUGUAGGAUAUAAUUAAAGGAGUCAUCCCUCUUUUUUUCUAUUUGAUUUUAAAACUUAAGUAAAGCCAGGAACUACUAUUUUUAAAGGCACUGAAAAAUAACUUAUGAUUAGAAAACAUAUAUUUUUAUAUACUGGCAUGUGUAGGUCACACUACAAAUAUACUUUAUGCUUUCCAGUUAAAAGGUAAUGGUGUUCUUGAAGAUAUGUUAGAAAUCCAAAAUAAUAAUUUAAGAUAAGUUGGAAGACAUGGUAGAUUACUCACUGCAUGCUAUAAAUUGAGUGCAGAGCUAACAAGUGUGGUAUGUUGGUAUGUGUAGUUAGAAAAAUUGACUUUUAUGAGUUUAUUCAAUAAAAUUAGAAUACUUUCAAUUCUUUUAUUUUUGCUUCAUUCCAUCUGCCUUCCAGAUAUCACUGACUUUAUUACAAAGGUGUUUAAAGUUAACAUUAUUAAUCUACAUAUACUUGUUAUUCUGCAGAGUAAAAUCUUCUAAUCUUUAUGUUUCUAAAAGCAUGACUUUUAAAAAAAGUAACCACACAGUUACAACCAGGCAUCUAGGUAUUGUAACUGUAUUUCCUUUCCAUUUUCAAAUUGUGUUCUGUUUUUAUUUUUGAAUCAAUGUUAAAUAACAGGUAACUGUUUGUAACUUUAGAUACAAUAUUUUACUAAAAAGAUCAUAAAUGUUCCAUAAGCUUAUAUACUUUUUGUACUUCUUUUACUAACCUGGAAGUAAUAGAUUUGAUUUGCUUUAAAAAAUAACUUUUUUUCUUCAUAAAACCCUUCCUUUCAAAUCCUGUCUACAGUGUCUCCUUCUGUCUUCUGAAUUUACUUUCGUAUUACCUAUGUGACACUUAUUAGUUUGGUGCAAAAGGAAUUGCAGUUUUUGCAAUUACUUUUUUAAUGGCAAAAACCAACCUAAUAGUAUGUGUUGUCUUGUGUCUGUUUUAGCUUCCAAAAAUAGACCAUACAUUUUCCAAGGACAAAGAUCCAAUUCUUAUCAGUUAGCAUAAUGAUUGUUUCCCAAAGUAAUUCUUCCACUAUACUUGUAAAACUCAAAGUUAUAUUUUAUCUAGAUAUCUACCUAUCUAUAUCUAAAUAUAGAUAUAGUAUAGUAUACAAAAUUAUGCUAUACUAAAAUUGAAAUCUUUUUAAAAUUGAAAGGGUUUAUUUAGUCUACCUCCUUGAGAUAGAGAAAAAAAGGCUUUCCAUCAUCCCUCCUCUGUCUUUGGUGGUUAAGGUUCUAUUACCUGAAAAAUUGUGUAGCCAAAGCGCCAAUAACCAGCUUGUACGUAUAAAAAGUUGAUCCUAAGUAGUACUAUAUAGAAAUAAAUUUAAACCUAAAAUGUUUUUGUUUUAUAUUGACACCAAAAUAUUUUGCUUUUAUAUCUGUACAGUCUGAAAAUUCAAAAGAGAAGCAAUUUAAAGGACUUCCAUUUACUUCUUUCCCCUCUAAUCUGCACAAAAGGUUAAAUGUAGCAGUGCAGCAGUUCUGGCCAUCAAAAUAUGAUUAUUGUACUUUAAAAGCAGCCAUGAGAACUCUGCUCUUUGAUAGACUUCAACUUGCAACAACUAAGGUAACAUAUUAUCUGGUUCUACCCAAAAAUACAUAUCCUCAUCCUACUUAUCUUAGAUCAUGUGUAAGAUUCAGUUAUGUUUAAGCUGUCCUUCGGAAAAACUCACAGGUUAAUCUUUAGCACCCACUCUCUACUCACUUUAGGUCCUUAUCCCUGAUGACUACUUUAUUUCUUGCAGGAAUAAUCCAGUUCCAGAGGAGAUUAGGAGUUGGGUGAGAGGAUAGACUCUAAUCUUAGAGAAAUAAGUAGUUUUUAUGGAACAGGUGGUGUUUGGUUAUGUGGAUAGGUUUUUUGGAAUACUACUCAGCCAUAAAACGGAACAAAAUAAUGGAAUUCCCAGCAACCUGGAUGGAGUCGGAGACCAUUAUUCUAAGUGAAGUAACUCAGUGAGAACAAAUAUCGUAUGUUCUCACUUAUAAGUGGGAGCUCUUAAAAGUGGGAGCUAAGCUAUGAGGACACAAAGGAGUAAGAAUGAUACAAUGGACUUUGGGGACUAGUGGGGAAGGGUGGGGGCUGGAUGAAGGAUAAAAGUCUACACAUUGGGUACAGUGUACAUUGGGUUUUUUCCCAUCUAUAACCGUAGAAAGAAAAGAUUAUAUCAGAUGCAUAUUGAUAGAUUUUAAAGGGUGCCAAAAAUAUUUGAAUAUGAACUAUAUAUAAAUUCCUACUGAAGACUAAAUAAACAUUCAUGUAUUUUGGAAUUUGUUUUCUAUUUCUGAUAGACUUAGUUAUUACCAGGAACAGAUGACCAGUUGCAAGAACUGUCACUAUUUUAACAUUCUCCAUCAGCUGUGGCCAUGUUGGAUUUCUGGCACCUGAGCAUUCACAUCCAUCUGUUUAUAGGGCAUUAUGCCCACUCAUGAGGUUUAUUCCAGUUUCAAAAAGUCAUGUGUAAACCAAGAUUGGAAAUAUAUAUUCCUUGAGAAAUAGAGACACAGACACACAAGGGAGAGUGCCAUAUGAAAAUGGAGGCAGAAUGGAGUGAUGCAUCUACAAGCCAAGGAACACCAAAAAUUGCCAGCAACUACUAGAAGCUAGAAGAGGCAAGAAAGGACUUUCUAGAGCCUUUGGAAAGCAUGAUUCUGCCACAUCUUGAUUUUGGACUUCCAGCCUCUAGAACUGUGAGAGAGUAAGUUUCCAUUGUUUUAAACCACCCAAUUUGUAUUAAUUUGUUAUAGAAGCCCUGGGAAACAAAUAAACUACUUUAGAUCAGUUAGGAAGGCUUCUUGAACUAUAUGACAUUUAAACAGAGACAUAAAUGAUGAGACUGUCCCAGCCAAGUUAAAAAUAUCACUGGGAAUCAAACUCACUGGUGUUAUUCCAGCUCAGUGGUAAAUGUUCUACUGGUAUUUUAAAUAAUUCUAAAAUAAAGUCAUUAUUUUUCUUUGCACUCCAAAGUCCUUCUUUGCAAAAACUAUAUGAAGUAGGCAUUAAUAUUCAGACUUACUAUAUAGAGGCUAAGGAACUUAGACCUAGUAAGUAGCAGAGCCUAGAUUCAAGCUCAGGUAACCUAGCUUCAGGAGCCUGUAAUUUAAACCAUCAGGUUAUACUGACUCUAUUCUCAACCUUAUGCAGUGUGCUUUCAUUCUUCCCACAAGCUUCCAAGGUGUCCUUUUUUGUGAUAUCCCAUGGAAUCCAGUCUCAUAUGUGAAAUUUAGCUUUUCUUUUUUGUCUCCUACUUUUCCUCUUUUCCUUUAUAAUGAUAGUAGUACAGAUUGCUAAAUGUAUUGAGCACUAAGUGUGCCAGCUCUUUUAAUUCAAACAACAACCAUAUGAGGUAGAUACUAUUAUCAUCCUCAUAUUCCAGAGGAUAUUUCUAUGGCUUAGAGAGGUUAAGUGACAUAUGUGGGAUCAUAAUACUAAUAAAUGGCAGACCCUGGGUUGGUUGGAUCUGUCUGACUUCAAAGCUUCUACUUUUAAAAAAAUUCGAUGUAAAACCAAGGUAUAACUUACAUGAUUUAAGAUGCACAACUCCUAAAUAUUUAGUAUGAUGAACUCUGAUAUGUUCUAUACCUGUGUAAUUAUCAUCACCCAGAACAUUCCCUGAUGGAAAGACUCCUUAAUCACCCCCCUUAACAGUAGAUAAUCCUCCAAAGAUAAACAACAUUCUGUUAUAUAUCACCAUGAAUUAACUUUAUUUUUGAACUUUCUAGAAGUAGAAUCAUAUAGUAUAUUUUCUUCAGUGUCUCAUUUCUUUCCAGAGUCCUUAUUUUUAAUGACCAUGUUAUACUUUGUCCAACAAAACUGCCAAGUCCUCUGUCCUAUUUUCCUAGGCUCUUGCUAAGUAACCUAUGUUGAUGAUGUAAUAUGCUAAUUCUUGCUAAAAUAUUAGUGGGUGAAAAUUGUUUAAGUUACUUUUUUGGGGGGAUAACUUAUUAGUAUCAUAACUGACCUUAAGCUGAGAAGAAUGACUAUUAUGAAAAUUCUAAGUAGAGUCUGAGAGACUUUUAGGCAAAAGGGGCCUAGCUAGUUCCAGUUUUAUAUGGUUUGUUAACUUUAGGAAAGAUGCUCAUAAAUGAAUGCAUAGAAGGAAAGCAAAAGCUGAAAAAAAGGGGGAAACUGAAAGUAUGUAAAUACUUCUGGGCAAAGAAAGGCUGUAUGAGUUUUAUGGUAUUGGGAGAGGGGAGUGUCCUGGUCCAUUUCUCCUGCUGUAACUAAAUACCUGAGACUUAGUAAUUUAUAAACAAUAGACAUUUAUUUCUCUUAGUUCUGGAGGCUCAGAAGUCACAGAUCAAGGCACCAGCAAGUCUGAUGACUGGUAAAGCCCCAUUUUCCAUAGAUGGUGCCAUCUAGGUGUCCUUACAUGGUAGAAGGGCAAAAAGGGAACAAAUGUUUUUUCCUCACAUGGCAAAAGAGCAGAAAGGCAAGAGAGAGCUCCCUUCAACCUUUGAGCCCUUUUAUAAGGGUGCUAAUCCCAUUUAUGAGGUCAGAGCCCUCAUGACUUAAUCAUCUCUCUCUUAGUACUCUUGCAUUGGGGAUUGAGUUUCAACAUGAAUUUUGGAGGGGACACAAAUAUUCAAAUCAUAGCACUGGUACACUAAUUGUGGACCUUUAAAAUUUAUUUCUAAAAUGUAAAUGUUGUAUCUAUAACUGAAAUUGAAAUACCACAGAAGAAAUCUUAGAUGUAUAAAAAGAAAUGUUAAUGUCAUAUAGAAAAAUGAACAUUGAAGUUGUCAAAAGUUUUGGGUUCUAGUCACUGCUCUGCAGCUUACCAGCUAAUUACCUCGCUUAAAUCACCUAAUCUUUCUGAGUCAACUUCAGUAUAUGCAUAAAAACAUUUACCCUGCCUGACAGGAUUGGUGUGAAGAUUAAAUAUGAAAUAAGCUAGUUUAUAUUAAUGUGCUUUAUAAAGUCUCAUAUAUGAAGCUUUAUAUAUAUACACAUAUCACUGUCAUAAAAUAGUUAAUACAAUAUUAGAUAUAUGAAAAAUUGAAUACUGUAACCACCUGAUGCAAUAGAAAGUCUUAAUGACAUUGUUUUUGAAGAACUUCUAAUUUAAUAACCCAGGCUUCCAGUCACUCAGUUCAAGUUUGUCAGAACUCUAAAUGAAUGGAUUUGGAAAAAUACAAGAGCAAUUUUCUUUCCCAUUUCCUUUUGCUUUUACAUUUCACCUCUUCUCAGUGAUAAAUUUUGUUGGAAAGCAAGACAUAAUUUUUUUACUUUUACCCUUUUCCUUAGAGUUUCUUGCAUGUCACACGUGAAUUUGCCUAGGGAUUCUCCUGUAACAAGAAUUAUUUAAUUGUCAGGUAAGAGUGUGAAGAAUUUAUUAGAAAAAUGUGAAAGACUUCAUACUGAUAACCAAUUAUUAUUAUUAUUAUUAUUUUGAGACCGAGUUUCGCUCUUGUUGCCCAGGCUGUAGUACAGUGGCGCAAUCUUGGCUUACUGCAACCUCCCCCUCCCGGGUUCAAGUGAUUCUCCUGCCUCAGCCUUCCUGAGUAGCUGGGAUUACAAGCAUGCGCCACCAUGCCCGGCUAAUUUUGUAUUUUUAGUAGAUAUGGGAUUUCUCCAUGUUGGUCAGGCUGGUCUCGAACUCCCGACCUCAGAUGAUCUGCCUGCCUCGGCCUCCCUAAGUGCUGGGAUUACAGGCGUGAGCCACCGUGCCCUGCUGAUAACCACUUACUAAUUUAUAGCCAAUUUAAAAAAAUUGGCGUGGGGUGGGGAGGCACGCUGGGUAGGAGGAUGGGUAGUAAUAAUAUGUUCCGCUUUACUUUGGACUGCCAUCUACUGGUAAAUUAAGUCAGACAAUGUUUGACAAACAAAACAAUUAUGUUCAGAGAUUAGAACAAGGAACUUGUUGAAGAAUGACAUCAGCAAAAUAGUGGAACAGAAGUUCCUAGUACUCAUCUCACAGAAACAUAAAUUUAAACAUCUAUCCACACUAAAAAAAUACCUUUACAAGAACUAAGAAAUUCAAGUGAGGGAUUAUAGCACCUGGAUGUAGCAUGGAAAUAAGAAAACAUGUAUUCAUGACGACAGGAAAGACAGUUUUACAUUACCUGUGUGCUAUGGUUUGAAUGUGUCCUCUCCAAACUUCAUGUGCUGAAACUUAAUGACCAAUAUGAUGGUAUUAAGAGAUGGGGCCUUUAAGAGGUCAUGAGCUCUCCUUCUCUCAUGAUUAAGGCCUUUAUAAAAGGGGCUUUGUGUAGUGUUCACCUCAUUGCCUUUCCACCUUUUGCCAUGUGAAGACCUAGUAUUACUCCCCUCCAGAAGAUGCAACAAUAAGAUGCCAUCUUGAAAGCAGAGAGCAUCCCUCACCAAACAACCAAACCUAUCAGGGCCUUGAUUUUGGACUUCUUAGCCUCCAGAAUGAUGAGAAAAUAAAUUUGCUAUUUAUAAAUUAUCCAGUCUCUCAGAUAUUUUGUUAUAGCAGCACAAAACAGACUAAAGACACCAUGUCACUGUUUUCACAAGCCUGGGCAACACAUCAUGCAGAUAAAUACCCUUCAUGUGGGAAAAGCAGUGUGAAGUGAGCUCUCACCUUCACUUCAGACCCUGGCAGCAGGCCUACCCCAGUAAGCCCAGACUCUAGGACCACCCCAGCACCAGGAGUCUCCAGGCCAACUGUCCCAGUCUCCAGACCAGCUCAUGUGGUCACAGGCUCCAGGCCCAACCGAGAGACAGGCUUGACCUUGCAGCCUUAGGUUCUAGGCCAGCCCCUUGGACACAAGCUCCAGGCCUCCAAAGGUAAACAACAUUCUGCUAUCUCUCACUAUGGAUUAACUUUGUUUAUUUUUGAACUUCCUAGAAGUGGAAUUAUAUAGUAUAUUCGCUUUGGUGUCUCAUUUCUUUCCAGAGUCCUUAUUUUUGAUGACCAUGUUAUACUUUGUCCAACAAACCUGCCAAGUCUUCUGUCCUAUUGCCCUAGGCUCUUGCUAAAUAACCUAUGUUGAUGAUGUAAUGUGUUAAUUCUUGUUAAAAUAUUAGUGGGUGAAAAUGCCCUACCACUGCACCAACCCACCCCCUGCAGACUCAGGCUCUAGUCCCAUCCUAGCACCAAGCCAGCUCCCAUGGUCCCAGGCUCCAGACUGCCCCCUGUGGCCCUAUGCUCCAGAAUAUCUAGGUUCCAGGCCCACCCCAGUAGAAUUUGAUACUAGUCCAGCCCUCAAAGACCCAAGCUCCAGACUGGACCCCAUCAACCCAAGACCAAAGCCUGCCCGCAUGGACUCAGCCUCCAGGCCCACUACCAUGGACCCAGGUGCCAGGGCACCCCACUGAACCCUGGUGCUAGGUCAGCUCCUGUAAACUCAGGACCAGGCCCAUCUCCAUGGACCCAGGCACCAGGCCUCCCCUAGCAACAGGUUUUCCCUCAUGGACUCGGGCUUUAGGCUGGCCCCUGUAGACACAGGUUUCAGCCUACCUAUGCAUGCCUACCCAUGCAGGCCCAAUCUCUAGGCCCAACCCAGUGGAGUCCAGCACUAGGCUGGCCUCUGUGAACCCAAGAUCCAAGCCUAACCACCUAGAUUCGGGUUCAACGCCUGCCCCACUGGACCCAUGAGCCAGACUCAGCCAAGUGGACCUAGCCACCAGACCAGCCUGCCUGAGGAUUCCAACAGCAAGCUUGCAAGCAGACCCCACUAAAUGGCUCACCAAGAAUCUCUGGAUGGUCUGACUGGUAAAGGACUUUCCCUGCCAAAGCCAGUCUGUAAAGAUGGGAAAAGCUGCCUGCUUCUUUUUAAAAAUUAUAUUUUAUUUUUUAGAGACAGAGUCUUACUAUGUUGCCAGGCUGGAGUAUAGUGGAUAUUCAUAGGCACAAUCAUAGCACACUGCUGCCCCAAACUCCUGGGCUCAGGUGAUCCUCCUGCCUUAGCCUCCUGAGUAGCUGGGACUUCUGUGCCUGGUUAAGAGGUUCCUACUUCUCCAAAUAGACAAACACCAACACAACACCACAAGGAUUACAAAUAAAACUGCCUGACAAAGAAUUGAAAAUAAUUGUCUUCAAGAAACUUAGUAAGCUCCCAGAGAACACAGCUAGACAACUAAACAAUUAUCAGGAAAACAAUACAUAAGGAAAUGAGUUCAACAAAGAGAAGGCAUUUAAAAAUUCUGGAGCUGAAGAACACAAUGCUUGAACUGAAAAAUUCCAUAGAUAGAUUUAACAACAGAUUUGAUCAGUCAGAAGAAAGAACCAGUGAGACUGAAAACAGGUCAUUUGAAAUUAGAGCAGAGGAAAAAGAAUGAUAAAGAGUGAAGAAAGCCUAUGGGACUUAGAGAACACCAUCAUGUAAAACAAUAUUUGUGUGUAAGUUUUCUGGAAGGAGUAGAAAAAGAAAAGGGGAGAAAGCUUAUUUUAAGAAAUAGUAGCAGAAAACUUCCCAAAUCUGGAGAGGGAAAUGAAUGUCCAGAUUCAUGAAGCUCGAAGAACCCCAAAUAUAUUAAAUAUAAAGAGAUCUACCCCAAGACACAUUAUAAUCAAAUUCUCAAAAGCCAAAGACAAAGAUUAUUUUGAAAGCAGCGAGGAAAGACACGUCACAUGCAAUGGAACCCAUAUGAGAUGGUCAGUGAAUUUCUCAGCAGAAACCUUGCAGAUCUUGAGAGAGUGGAAUGACAUAUUUAAAGUGCUGAAAGAAAAAAAAAAACCUGAAAACCAAGAAUGCUACCCCUGGUAAAUCUUUCCUUCAGAAAUGAAGGAGCGAUAAAGACUUUCUCAGACAAACAAAAGCUGUGGGAGUUCAUCACCACUAGACAUACCUUACAAAAACUGUAAAGGGAGUUCAAGUUGAAACAAAAUGACACUAACUUUCUAGAAGCUGAAGCUGUGAAAAAUUUUUAAAAAUGACAUAAUAUAAAAACAUAGAAGUAUAAAACUGUAAAGGUAAGAAUACAGUCAAAUUCAGAAUACUCUAAUACUAAUGAUGGUAAUGAUAGUACAUAAAUAACUCUAGUAAAAAGUUAAAAGUCGUGAGUGUUAAAAAUAAAUAUGGCAACAAUAAUUUGUUAGUGGAUACACAUUAUAUAAAACAUGCAAAUUGUGACACCAGUACAUAAAAUGUGAGAGGAGGAGAAGUUAAAAGUGUAGAGUUUUGUAUGUGGUUGAAGUUAAGUUGUUAUUAGAUCCAAAUAGACUGUUAUAAGAUGUUUUAUGUAAGCCUUAUGGUAACCACACACAAGAAAAGUCUGUAGUAAAUAAAAGAUAAAGAAGACGAAAUCAAAGCACACCACUACAAAAAUAAAUCAUUAGGCUGGGCACAGUGGCUCACGCCUGUAAUCCCAGCAUUUUGGGAGGCCGAGGCGGGCAGAUCAUGAGGUCAGGAUAUCGAAACCAUCCUGGCUAACAUGGUGAAACCCCGUCUCUACUAAAAAUACAAAAAAUUAGCUGGGCAUGGUGGCGGACGCCUGUAGUCCCAGCUACUCGGGAGGCUGAGGCAGGAGAAUGGCAUGAACCUGGGAGGCAGAGCUUGCAGUGAGCCGAGAUCGCACCACUGCACUCCAGCCUGGGCAACAGAGCGAGACUCCAUCUCAAAAAAAGAAUAAAAAUAAAAAUAAAAAUAAAUAAAUCCUUAAAUCACAAAAGAAGUCAGCAAGAGAGAAAGAAAGGAACAAAGGAACUACAAAACAGAUUUAAAUGAUUAACAAAAUGGCAAUAUUAAGUUCUUCCUAUCAAUAAUUAAUUGUAAGUGGAUUCAGUUCUUCAACAAUAGAGUGGCUGAAUGGAUAAAAGGAAAACAAGAUUCAAUUAUAUGCUACCUACCAGAUACUCACUUAAGCUUUAGGGACACACAUAGGCUGAAAGUGAAGGGAUAGAAAAAGAAGAUAUUCCAUGCAAAUGGUAACCAAGGGUGAACAGCAGUGGUUAUACUUAUAUUGGACAAAAUAUACUUUAAGUCAAAAACUUUCACAAGGACAAAGAAGCUAAUUAUAUCAUAGUAAAGAGAUCAGUCUAUCAAGAGGAUAUAACAAUUAUGAAUACUAUGCACUCAACAUUGGUGUACCUACAUAUUUAGCAAAUAUUAACUGAACAGAGAAAUAGAAAGCAAUAUAAUAAUAGUAGAGUACUUCAAUACCUCACUUUCAAAAAUGGAUAGAUAUAGAUCAUCCAGACAGAAUAUUGAUAAGGAAACAGUGGACUUGAAAUACAGUAUAAUAUAAACCAAAUGGAUCUAACAGAUACGUACAGGACAUUCCAUCCAACAGCAACAGAAUACACAUUCUUUUCAAGUGUACGUGAAACUUUCUCAAGGAUAGAUCAUAUGUUAGGCUGUAAAACAAGUCUUAACAAAUUUAAAAAGAUUGAAAUAAUUAUCAAUAUCUUUUUCAACGACAAUGUUAUGAAAUGCUGUAAAAUGUUAGGAAAACAACAGGAAGAAAAUUAGAAAAUACACAAAUUUGUGUAAAUUAGACCACAUACACUCGAAUAACCAAUAGGUCAAAGAAGUCUUCAAAAGAAAAAUAAAAGGCCAGGUGCCUGUAAUCCCAGCACUUUGGGAGGCUGAGGUGGGUGGAUCACCUGAGGUCAGGAGUUCGAGACCAGCCUGGCCAACAUGAUGAAAUUCCGUCUCUACGAAAAAUACAAAAAUUGGCCAAGCAUGGAGGCAGGCACCUGUAAUCCCAGCUACUCGGGAGGCUGAGGCAGGAGAAUCACUUGAACCCAGGAGGCAGAGGUUGCAGUGAGCCAAGAUCGCGCUACCACACUCCAGCCUGGACAACAAGAGUGAAACUCCAUCUCAAAAAAAAAAAAAAAAGAGAAAUGAAAAAUAUCUUGAGACAAAUGAAAACAAAACCACAAUAUAACAAAACUUACUGGAUGCAACAAAAGCAGUCCUAAGAGGGAAGUUUAUAACAAUAAAUGCCUACUUAAGAAAAAAGAAAGAUCUCAAAUAAACAACCUAUCUUUAUAUCUCAAGGAACUAGAAAAAGAAGAAUGAAUUAAGGCUGAAGUUAGCAGAAGGAAAGAAAAUACAAAUCCAAGCAGAAAUAAGUGAAACAGACUAGAAAUAUUACAAAAGAUCAAGGAAACUAAGAGUUGAGUUUUUUUAAAUAUAAGCAAAAUUGACAAACUUUAGCUAGACUAAUAAAAAAAGAGAGAAGACUCAAAAUAUUAAAUUAUAAAUGAAAGAACAAAAAUUGAAAAAAGCCAGGCACACUGUUGUGCAGCUGUAACCCCACCUACUCAGGAGGCUGGGGUGGGAGGAUCUCUUGAACCCAGGAGUUUUAGGCCAGCCUAAACAAUGUAGUGAGACCCUGUCUCAAAACAAACAAUUAUAAUUGAAAGAGGAGAUAUUAUAACUGAUAUCACUGAAAUAUGAGGAAUCAUAAGAGACAGCUAUGAAAAUUAUAUGCCAACAAUUGGAUAACUUAGAAGAAAUAGAUAAAUUUCUAGAAACAUAAAAUUUACCAAGGCCGAAUAAUGAAGAAAUAGAAAAUCUGAACAGACAAAUGAUAAGCAAGAAGAUUGAAUUGAUAAUCAAAAAAACCUCCCAAAAAGAAAAACCCAGGAUCUGAUGGCUUUAUUGGUUAAUUCUACCCAACAUUUAAACAAAAAUUAAUGCCAAUUGUUUUCAAACCCUUAAAAAUUCAAGAGCAGGGAGCACUUACAUCAUGAGAACAGCAUUACCUUGACACCAAAGCUAGAUAGUUGGACACUAUAAGAAAAGAAAUUAUAAGCCAAUAUCCAUGAUGAACAUAGAUGCAAAAAUCCUUAACAAAAUACCAGCAAACUGAAUUCAAUUACACAUUAAAAGGAUCAUACGCCACAAUCAAGUGGAUUUAUCUCUGGGCUGCAAAGGUAGUUCAACACAUGCAAAUCAAUAAAUGUGAUACACCACAAUAACCAAAUGAAGGACAAUCAUAUGUUCAGUUCAAUAGAUGCAAAAAAAAAAAAAAGCAUUUGACAAAAUUCGACAUCCUUUCAUGAUUAAAAAUUCUCAACAUUAGCUAUAGGAGGAAUGUGCCUGAAAGGCCAUACAUCACAAGCCUAGAGCCAAUAUAAUACUCUAUGGUGGAAAGCUAAAAGCUUUUCCUCUAAGAUGAGGAGCAAGACAAGAAAACCUACUCUUCUCACUUCUAUUCAGCAUGCUACUAGAAGUCCUAGCUAGAGCAAUUAGGCAAGAAAAAGAUAUAAAAGACAAGAAAACCCACUCUUGUCACUUCUAUUCAAAAUACUACUGGAAAUCCUAGCUAGAGCAAUUAGGCAAGAAAAAGAAAAGGCAUUCAAAUUGGAAGAAGUAAAACAGUCUCUGUUUACAGAUGACAUAAUCUUGUAUAUAGAAAACCCUAAAGACUUCACCAAAGAACUGUUACAGCUAAUAAAUGAAUUCAGUAAGCUGCAAGAUACAAAAUCAAAUACAAAAAUAAGUUGUGUUUCUAUACACUAACAAUGAACUGAGAAGGAAAUUAAGAAGAUAAUCCUAUUUACAAUAGCAUAAAGAAAUACUUCAAAUACAUUUAACCAGGGAGGCAAAAGAUUUGUAUACUGAAAACUCUCAAACAUUGAUGAAAGAAACUGAAAUAGACACAGAUAAAUGGAAAGAUAUUCUAUUUUCAUGGAUUGGAAGAAUCGAUAAUGUUAAAAUGUCCAUACUACUCAUAUAAACCUAAAGAUUCAGUGCAAUCACUCUCAAAAUUCCCAUGGCAUUUCUCACAGAUAGAAAAGCUAUCCUAAAAUUUGUAAGUAACCAUAAAAGAUCGCAACUAGCCAAAGCAAUCUUGAGCAAGAACAAAGCUGGAGGCAUCAUGCUACCUAAUUUCAAAAUAUACUAUAAAACUAUAAUAAUCGAAACAGCGUGGUCCAGGCACAAAAACACAUAGGCCAAUUGAACAGAAUAGAGAGCUCAGAAAUAAAUCCACGCACUUACAGUCAAUUGAUCUUUGACAAAGGUGCCAAGAAAACACAGUGGGGGAAUAGACAGUCUCUAAUCAGUAGUGGUAUGGAAACCAUAUAUUCACAUGCAGAAAAAUGAAAUUGUACUCAUGUCACUUCAUAUGCAAAAAUCAAGUCAAAAUGGAUUAAAGCUUAAAUGUAAGACCUGAAACUAUAAAAAUACUGGAAGAAAAAGAAAACAUGAGGGAGAAAUUCUUGGUAUUGGUCUGGGUACUGAUUUUUUUGAUAUGACACAGCACAGGCAACAAAAGCAAAAAUAGUCAAAUAGGGUUAUAUUAAACCAGAAAGCUUCUGGACAUGAAAGGAAGGACAUAGAGUGAAGAGACAACCUAUGGAACAGGAGAAAGUAUUUCCAAACUAUGCCUCAAAUAAAGCAUUAAUAUCUGAAUUAUAUAAGGAACUCAAACAAAUCAGUAGCAGGAAAGUAAAUAAUCCAAUUAAAGAAGUAAAAGGACUUGAACAGACAUUUCUCAAAAGAAGAUGUGCAAAUGGCUAGCAGGUAUAUGAAAAAAUUCUCAACACCACUAAUUAUCAGCAAAAUGCAAAUUAAAACCACAGUGAGGCUCGGCACAGUGGCUCAAGCAUGUAAUUCUAGCAGUCUGGGAGGCUGAGGCAGGUGGAUCACUUGAGGCCAGGAUUUGGAGACCGGCCUGGCAAGCAUGGUGAAACCCUGACUCCACUAAAAAUACAAAAAUUAGCCAUCCAUGGUGGUGCAUGCCUGUAAUCCCACCUACUUGGGAGGCUGAGGCAUGAGAAUUGCUUGAACCCGGGAGGUGGAGGUUGCAAUAGGCCAAGAUCAUGCCACUGCACUCCAGCCUGGGUGACAGAGCGAGACCAUGCCUCAAAAACAACACAAUGAGAUGUCUCCUCACACCCGUUAGAAUGGUUAAUAUAAAAAAGACAAAAGAUAGCAAGUGUUGGUGAGGCUGUGGAGAAAAGGAAACCCUUGUGCAUUGUUGUUGGCAAUGUAAAUUGGUAUAGCCAUUAUGGAAAAUAGUAUGGAGCCUUCUCAAAAAAAAAAAAAAAAAAAAAAAAAAACAGAAAUAGAACUACCAUAUGAUUCAGCAAUUCCACUUCUGGGUAUGUAUCCAAAGGAAAUGAAAUCAGUAUGUUAAGAGGUAUGUGCACUCCCAUGUUCACUGCAGCAUUAUUCACAAUAGCCAAGAUGUGGAAUCAACAUAGUGCCCAUCAAUGGAUGAAUGGAAAAAAUGUGAUACACACACACACACACACACACACACACAAUGGAAUAUUAGCCAGCCUUAAAAAAGGAAAUAUUGGGCCAGGUGCAGUGGCUCACACCUGUAAUCCCAGCACUUUGGGAGGCUGAGGCGAGCAGAUCAUGAGGUCAGGAGUUUGAGACCAGCCUGGGCAACAUGGUGAGACCCUGUGUUAGCUCUACUAGAAAUACAAAAAAUUAGCCGGGCGUGGUGGUACGCAUCUGUAGUCCCAGCUACUCAGGAGGCUGAGGCAGGAGAAUCGCUUGAACCUGGGAGGCGGAGGUUGCAGUGAACUGAGAUCGCGCCACUGCACUCCAGCCUCGGCGACAGAGCAAGACUCCGUCUCAAAAAAAAGGAAAUCUUGUCUUUUGGGACAACAUGGAUGAGCUUGGAGGACAUUUUACUAAGUGAAAUGAGUCAGGCACACAAAGACAAAUACUGUGUGAUCUCGCGUACAUGUGAAAUCUAAAAAGGUAGAACUAGAGGCAGAAAGUAAAAUGGUGUUUGCCAGGAGCUAGGAGGUAGGAGGAAUGGGAAGAUGUUGGUGAAGGGUACAGAGUUUCACUUAUGCAGGAUGAAUAAGUUUUGGAGAUUUAAUGUCCAACAUGGUGACUACAGUUAAUAAGACACUAUUAUAUAUGUGAAAUUUGCUAAGACGGAUCUUAAAUGUUCUCACCACAUACACACACAACAGGUAACUAUGUGAGGUAAUGGAUAUGCUAAUUAACUUGAUUGCAGUAAUCAUUUCACAAUAUACAUGUAUCAAAAUAUCACCUUGUAUACCUUAAAUAUAUUCAUUUUUUAUUUGUCAAUUAUACCUCAAUAAUGCUGGAGAAAACAAUUGACUUAUUUUGUAUAAAAUAUAUACUAGUUAUUAGAAUCAUGGAAAAUGGUGGUUUGAUUUACUAAUUUAAUGAUUCAAUUAUUAAAUUUUUCUCAAGGCUUUUUUUGGGGAAAUUUCUUUAUUCUAAAUUCUGAGCUCCAAUUAGAAACAUCAGAUGUAUGUGUUGAGGGUCUAUUAUGUUAAUGAAUCAAAUAUUUAAGUGUUUAUGUAUCACACUGUGCAAGGCACUGGAGAUAUGAUGGUGAAAAGUACAGAAUUUCCCUGCCCAUAUGGAACUGUGGUAAGGCUAAAAAUAAAUUAAAUGACAGAUUUCUAAAAGAUGUUACGAAUAGAAUGAGGCAGAGAGAGAGAAUACUCAGUGGUUGAGGUAACUACUAUCAGGAAAGGCUUUUUUUUAAAAACAAACAACAACAAAAAAACAAGGUCUUGUGCUGUCACCUGGGCCGGAGUGCAGUAGUGCCUCCACCUCCCAGCCUCAAGAAAUCGUCCCACCUCAGCCUCCUGAAAAACUGGGACUACAGGUGCAAGCCACCAUGCCCAACUAAUUUUUUCAUUUUUGUAGAGAUAGGGUCUUUCUAUGUUGCCCAGGCUGGUCUCAAACUUCUGGACUCAAGUGAUCCUCCCACCUCAUCCUCCUAAAGUGAAGGGAUUACAGGUGUGAGCCACCAUGCCCAGCAGGUAAGGCAUUUCUGAGAAGAACUUUAAGUAUCUGUUCUUUGCUAUAUUCCUAAUACUAGGCACAGUGCCUGGUACAUAGUCAAUACUGAAUGUAUAUUUGAUGAAUUAAAGGAUGGAUUAUACCAGGAAAUGGCUUUGAAGAGAGGCAUUGACCAGAGAUGAAAUACCAUCAGCUUUUCUUUUUUGACUGGUCAUAGAUGUUUGGGUUGGUCUGGCCUAAAGGUAGAAAUACGCAAUGGGAAAGAGAGCAUAGGAAAACUAUUGGAGAUAUAUAUAUAUAUGGCAUAGUAAUAUCCUUUUGAUAUGGGCCAGCUUAUAAAGUCCAAUCCAGGCAGAAAGAUUGAUGCGAAUGUUGACUCUGUCAGUUCAAGUCUACUAUCAUUUAGUUUACUACUAAAGUACCAAACAAGCAGUGCAAGGGAUAUGUACACCAAAUAAGCAUGUAAGUGAAUAGAUGCAGCUCUUUAAUGCUUCCUUGUACUUGACAAAUGCCCAAGUUCGGUAAUUGAGGCAGCCCAUGAGGAAUAAGAUCAAAGGGGUUCAAAACUACAGACCUUGGUAACAUUAGGCUGGGUGAGGGGGCCAUAGUUAAGGAUCUAAUUCACUAAUAUAUAAAAAAUUUGUUGUUGUACUAUAGUAAUGUAUUUACACAGUCUGUUCCUUCUGCACCCUCUGGCCAAUACUAGAGCUGUAGGCCUGCCAAACCUUCCUUGAAGCAAAGUCUAAUUGAAGACCUAAGAGUAAGAUGCAAACUUACGUGGAAUAAUUAAAUGUUAGUUUAUAACUGUAAUAAUAAUGUAAUAAGAAAGGAGGGAA
rnacentral:lncRNA from 10 species